UACGAAGGGGGGCUAGCGUUGUUCGGAAUUACUGGGCGUAAAGCGCACGUAGGCGGACAUUUAAGUCAGGGGUGAAAUCCCAGAGCUCAACUCUGGAACUGCCUUUGAUACUGGGUGUCUUGAGUAUGGAAGAGGUGAGUGGAAUUCCGAGUGUAGAGGUGAAAUUCGUAGAUAUUCGGAGGAACACCAGUGGCGAAGGCGGCUCACUGGUCCAUUACUGACGCUGAGGUGCGAAAGCGUGGGGGAGCAAACAGG
rnacentral:rRNA from 1 species